UAACUACAACAAGAACAUAGUUGAAUAAAUAAAGAUGAAAACCGAAAAAUUUGCAUUAACAUAAACAAGAAGUUCAACUCUCAAUAGGUUCCAUCAAGACCUUAUAUAGGGAAAUUAGCUACUCAUAACUAUGGGUAAACAAAUAAACUAAGAUUCAACAUAAUCUGGCAAUAAAAAUCAAAAGGAAAGAAGAAAUAUGUUUGAGCUAUUCUCUCACACUUGUUUUUCCUUCGAAGAAGUCAAAAUAAUCACUACAUGCCUCUAAAGGGCGAAACCUAGUGACUAAAAUAGGUUUUAGGGCUAAAUUUCACGUUUUCCCACAAUUACCCCUGUCCAGGAGCACGCCUUCCGCGGUCGGGGCGCGGUCGCGGGUGAACCACGCCCGUGUAGCCUCUCUGAACCUCAAGUUGUCUGCAACAUGCUUUUUUCACGUUCCUGCAGCGGUCGCGGUCGGACCGCGGCCAACGACCUUCUCUGAACUUUGUUUUAUCUGAAGCCGUGUUCUACCAUGUUCCAUCCGGGGUCGUGGCUGGACCGCGGCCAACAGCUGCCUCUGAAUCCCUGGCCUGUUUCAGCGUGAUUGGUUGGGAGUUUGCAUGGUUGGCCUCUUUUCUUCAUUUUCUUGACUCCAAAAGUACUUCUCGCCUUCCUCGUCGCAUAUAGUCUGAAAACACGAAAAAGCACCCAUAAGAGCAUUUUUGCUAACACUUUUAAUAUCAAAACAAUACAAGAAAGUGGUUAUUUAGGGCCUGAAUAUAAUCAAAAUCACCUAUUAUCAAAGAUCUCGGAUGUGAAUUCGGAUGGUUCGGAUAGCUUCGUUUGGUGAUUUUGGAAUUAGGAGCGUGUUCAGAAAGUAAUUUAGAAGUCCGUUGUAGAUUUAGUCUUGAAUUAGCGAAAUUGUAAAUUUGGCCGAUGACGACGACCAAAGAGAUAGAAAUUAAGCUUCUAAAAUUAAAGAAUUAUAGAAGAAGAAAAGGAAGAGGGGGAGGAGGAGGAGGGGGAGAUGAUGGAGAAGAAGAAGCUGAAGGGGCGAAUAUGUUAUUUGAC
rnacentral:lncRNA from 1 species